rnacentral:tRNA from 1 species
CAUAAGAUGACUGAAAGUAAGUACUGGUCUCUUAAACCAUUUAAUAGUAUUUAACGAAUACUUCUUAUGA